rnacentral:rRNA from 1 species
GCAGAGAUGCUUUGGUGCCUUCGGGAACUCUGAGACAGGUGCUGCAUGGCUGUCGUCAGCUCGUGUUGUGAAAUGUUGGGUUAAGUCCCGCAACGAGCGCAACCCUUAUCCUUUGUUGCCAGCGGUCCGGCCGGGAACUCAAAGGAGACUGCCAGUGAUAAACUGGAGGAAGGUGGGGAUGACGUCAAGUCAUCAUGGCCCUUACGAGUAGGGCUACACACGUGCUACAAUGGCGCAUACAAAGAGAAGCGACCUCGCGAGAGCAAGCGGACCUCAUAAAGUGCGUCGUAGUCCGGAUUGGAGUCUGCAACUCGACUCCAUGAAGUCGGAAUCGCUAGUAAUCGUAGAUCAGAAUGCUACGGUGAAUACGUUCCCGGG